AACGAACGCUGGGGGAUUCCCUAAACAUGGCAAGUGGAAGGAGCCUUCGGGGCUUGUGGUCCACGGGUGGGUAAAGCGUGGGGAACUGGCCCUAGGUUCGGAAUAACCUCCCGAAAGGGGUGCUAAUACCGGGUAAUGUCUUCGGGCCAAAGAUUUAUUGCCUUUUGAUUGGCCCGGGUUGGAUUAGCUAGUUGGUAGGGUAAAAGCCUACCAAGGCGACGAUCCAUAGCUGGUCUGAGAGGAUGGUCAGCCACACUGGGACUGAGACACGGCCCAGACUCCUACGGGAGGCAGCAGUGGGGAAUAUUGGACAAUGGGCGAAAGCCUGAUCCAGCAAUGCCGCGUGAGUGAUGAAGGCCUUAGGGUUGUAAAGCUCUUUUACCCGGGAUGAUAAUGACAGUACCGGGAGAAUAAGCUCCGGCUAACUCCGU
rnacentral:rRNA from 1 species